rnacentral:rRNA from 1 species
AGUGGACGCUGGCGGUAGGCCUAACACAUGCAAGUCGAACGGCAGCACAGUAAGAGCUUGCUCUUACGGGUGGCGAGUGGCGGACGGGUGAGGAAUACAUCGGAAUCUACUUUUUCGUGGGGGAUAACGUAGGGAAACUUACGCUAAUACCGCAUACGACCUACGGGUGAAAGCAGGGGAUCUUCGGACCUUGCGCGAUUGAAUGAGCCGAUGUCGGAUUAGCUAGUUGGCGGGGUAAAGGCCCACCAAGGCGACGAUCCGUAGCUGGUCUGAGAGGGUGAUCAGGCACACUGGAACUGAGACACGGUCCAGACUCCUACGGGAGGCAGCAGUGGGGAAUAUUGGACAAUGGGCGCAAGCCUGAUCCAGCCAUACCGCGUGGGUGAAGAAGGCCUUCGGGUUGUAAAGCCCUUUUGUUGGGAAAGAAAAGCAGCAGGUUAAUACCCCGCUGUUCUGACGGUACCCAAAGAAUAAGCACCGGCUAACUUCGUG